AUGAACAACUACGGAUCCAGACUCUCCGCUGACUUCCACUCUCGAGCAAUGAGCAGCGAACUGCCGCCGCCGCCGCCGCCGGCGCCAGCGAAACCUCCGUCGAUCCCCUCCGCCGCCACCACCACCACCACCACCCUCGCCACCGCCGCUGACGGAACCACAACCAUAUCCUCGCUGGGCCAAGACCAGCUCCUCGAGAUCUUCCUCCGGCUGCCCAACCUGCCGGCCCUCGUCCGCGCCGCGCUCACCUGCCGUUCCUGGCUCGGCGCCGUCCGCUCCUCCCGGCGCUUCCGCCGCCUCUUCCGCGCCCUCCACCCGGCGCCCCUCCUCGGGAUCUUCCUCGAGGUCGACGUCAGCACCUCCCCCUCCUUCGCCCCCCUGCGCCGCUCAGAUCCGGACGUCUCCGCCGCCCUCCGCCGCGGCGACUUCUUCCUCACCUCCCUCCCGCCGGACGACGGCGCGCCCCCGUGCUGGACCGUCACGGACUGCCGCGACGGCUACAUCCUCAUGUGGAACUCGCUCUGGGCCGUGGCCGCGGUGAACCCCAUGACCUGGGCUGCGGACAUCAUCUCGCUGCCCGCGAUGUCGCGGUCGGGAGCCUCACCGGUUUCGUCUUCCUUGGCUUCCAUCUGCUGUGUCCCGAGGAGAGCUCCAGGUCGUUCGGCGUGGUCUGCAUCGGCGCCGACGUGUCUAGGGUUCGCGCGCCGCCGUCUUCUCGUCGGAGACGAGGGAUUGGGUCGUCCACCCAUGGGUGGAAAUCGGCGGUGA
rnacentral:rRNA from 1 species